GGAUUAAUUAUCAUUAUUUUUUUCUUUUAAUUGUUAAUUUAAAUCACCCACAAGCUCCAGGUUGUUGACUUGACUCUACUUCGCUACUUACUACAUUACCUGAAAUCGAUUCUUUGUCUCCGUUAAUUGGUAGAUUUUGGUUAAAAUGGUUUCCCUAUGUGAGUAUUUUUCUGUAUUGAUCUUGAACAUUUUAAUUUCUUUUUGAUUAUUUGGGUUGAUGGAAAACUUUAAUUACCUGGUAAUGUAAUGGAAAUAUUUGAAAACUAAAUUCUAUUGAGAAUAACGGCUUCUUUUCUUAUUCCAACAUUCUCAUCAAAAUUGGUUAUAUUUACCAUGAUGAUCUAUGGUUAUCAUCAUACCAUCACUAACUAAGGUUCACUAAUCAUCAAUUAAGGUGUCUCCUUGUUAAAAACAAUAGUAGGAGGUGAAAGUGGAAAAGGACAAACACAUAAAAUCCUUGGACCAGUUCAAUGAAUCUCAAGAAUCUUUAACUAGAAACGUAUUAACUUAUAUCCAUAAGGAUCACCUUCUAAGAUUUACUUUCUCUUUUUUUUCUCUUCCUUUUAUUAAUCUUUCUCUAUUCUCAUCUUAGACACUAACCUUUUCUCGCUUUCUCUCCAGUCUCUCUCCUUUCACCUCUUUCAUCUCAUCAUCAUCAUCAUCAUUAUUUCCAUCAUUAUCUUCACCAUUAUAACAGUUAUUAUCCACCCAAACAUGGUACUCUCUCUCUCUAUCUAUCUAUCUCCCUUUCACACCAUCAUCAUCAUUUAAAGGUCACCUUAUAUCAAAAGCCUCUAAAUUGUGUGUCCUUCUCAUCAACUAAACCAGCAAUUCCUCAUUUUCUUUGUUUCAUCUUCUGUGGUUGGCUCAUUUUCGUGAACAAGAUUUAACCAAAAAGGAGAGAGACUCAAUUUAAUGAGCUUGUCAUUGUCAAGUGAUAUAUUUCAACUUCAUCAUCAUCUUCAUCCUCAAAUAAUUGUCACAAGGAAAUUGAGAACGAGACAAAAUCCAUGGAUGAGGGAGAGAGGAUAAAGCAAAAGAAAACAGCAAACAACAGCAAAAAAAAGCACAAUACUAAUCACAAUCAACUGAUUGUCAACUUUAAUACCCAAACAUCAUCAUCAUGACAAUUAAAGUAUAACCCCAGACACUAUCACUUGAAAAAAAAGUCCAACAUCAACUCUCAACAUGAACACUUUCAACACUAAACAUAAUCAUCAUCAUCAUGAUUAUGUCAACUAAUUUAUCACCCUCACUCGACAUCGUUAAUACCUUGGCUUGAAUCAACGUUCCUAUGAUCGUUAAUUAAACGACAAUCAACUCCAAACUGAUUGAAGGAUAAUUUUGAAACUUUUUCCUCUUCUUCAAUUCUCUUGGUGAUCAAUUGAAAUGAUCUCAAUCUCCAGUUAAUAAUGACGAUAUUUCUGAGGAUUAUCAGUUAUCAGAUGGAAAAGAAAAUAUCUUAAAGUGAAAUAAUUGUUUUCUCAUGAUGAUGAUGGAGAUGAAUAUCAUCCAAUUUAAUUUUCUUAGCAAAAUUGACUCAAAAAAAAGAGCGAACCAGAUAAAGUCAACUUUAAUUAACUAAUUAACUAACUCGCUUUGAGUGUGUUUAUAUCAAUGGAAAACGAAGCAGAAAAAAAAGCGAAACAAAUCUUAGUGAAUUUUUUUUUCGCUGCUGAGAAAAAAAAACUUUUUCUUGCUUAUCUGAACUUGGAAUCAAAGUUACAACAAUUUAGCUACAAUUGAGUUUAUUAACUGAAACAUAAGAGGAAAUGUUUAACAAGUUGAAUUUGAUGAUAAUUGUUUGGAAUCAUUUACUCUAAAGAAGUUAACAAUUAACUAACUAAUGAGAUAUUUUCCCGGGAAUAAGAAAACAAACACAAAGACAAAGAAAAUAAUAAAAUUAAAUUGCAAAUCAAUUGAUUGUGAUGAUAUGAUGCAACUCGAUUAAUUAAACUGUUGGAUAACUUGUUAAUUGCUCCCAUUUAAUUUGAUAAUCAACUUGGAUCAUGAAACAUUUUGAUUAUCUUCAAGUUAUAUUAACUUUUACUGAUGAUUUCAAGUUUUACUUUCAUUGGUUACGAUUAAGGAUGAGGAUGAAUCCAAGUUCUGCCAUCAUCAACAUCCAGGAUGAAAUAAUGGUUGUGUAAUUUUUUAUACUCUAGUUUAGUCUAGAGAGUUACAGUUGAUUGUAACUGGUUAAGCCGAUUUAAACAACAUCCUCAUCAAUAAAGUCUCAUCCUCAUCAUCAUCAUCAUCUUUACUUUCAUCUCUCCAUUUAAAACCUGUUUCUAUUAAAUUUCAAUCUUCAUCUUGAUCUGCAUCCUCAUCAUUACCAUUGUUUCCUAUUCAACUAAAUGCCUGUAAAUUCAAGAGCUGGUAAAGAUGAUAAGAAAAGGAUGAAGAUGAAAAUCCUUUACUAAUAUAAGUUGAACAAACCAACUCGAAGAUGAUAAUGAUGAUGAAGAUGAAGAUGAAGAUGAUAAUGAUAAUAAUAAAAGCUUGUCUUGCAUUUUUCAUCAAAGUGAACUAAAGAUGAUUAUUCAAGUAUCUAUUAAGAUAAAGGUUAAGGAUGAGGAUGAAGAUGAAGACCUGGAUGAUACAGUUGAAAUGUAUUAACAACAAUAGUUAAUCCAAUGUCUAAUAUCCUGAUGAUGUCGAUGAUUAAUUCAACGAGGAUCAAAGUGUUAAAACAAAGUAUCGGCAAGAUGAAGAUUCAGCAGAAAAAAAAUGAUGAGGAAGAUAAAAGAUGAAUUCAUCUAACAAAGUAUAACAAUGUAAAGGGAUGGAAAAGAUGAAACUUUAUACCAGAGAGAGAGAGAGAGAGAGAGAGAUGAAAGAUUUCCUGUCCAUAGAAAGAAGAUGAUAAUGAUGAUAAGAAAGAGACUGAUGGAAGAUAUUGUAUUUUCUAUGAAUUCUUUCACCUGAUUGAUUCAAUGUUAUUCAAUGUAUCAUCCGCAUCUUCAUCCUCAUCACAAUGAGUAGAAACACUUGAGAUGAAGUAACUAUUGUUACCUUCCGGUUGAGAAGGUAAAAAGGAGGAAGAUAAGACUAGAGAGAGGAAGAUGAUGAUGAUGAUGUACAAAUUUAACGGUGAUCAGUUUCCGGUGAAUCAUUGUGAUUGUAAGAUAAUCACAAGGCAAAGAUUAUCAGAUUAUCACCGUUUUCAUCAUCAGAACAUGAUGAUAACUUGAGGAAUAGUGAAAAAGAUGAAGAUUGAAACCUAGAAAAUUAGGCGAAGAAAAAAAAUCAAAGAUAAUUAUCUUCUUGAUGAUGAAGAUCCAUCCUGAUGAUACUUCCUCUUCCUUCAUGAUAACAGGAAAUAGUAACAGUGAAUCUUGAGGUUUCCAUGAUCAAUAAUGAGCCUGUUACAGGAACCAUUAUAAUCAUGAAGCUAUGAUAUGAUUAUGGUGUUUUUUUUUGUUCCGAUUGUUGAUUCAUGGUGAUAAUACUCAGAGUGUGAAUAUCUGAGCCAAUGAAUCAUGAUUCAUGAUGUUUCAUGAUGUCUAUGGGAAAAUGAAGGAUGAAAAUUGAUGUAAAUAAUGAUGAUACAAUUUCAAUGUAAUCAAUAAGUUACUUUUGAUGUUCAUACCUUUGAUAUUUAUGCUAUUAAACAUGAUGAUUAUAAAUCCUAUUGAUCAUCAUGAUAAGAUGAUGAAAAAUGAUUCGUUUUGUUGAACAAACUGAAUUAAAAUGAACGGAAAUAAGAAAAUUUUUUGACUUUGAUUAAUUUUGUUCAAUCAAAUGAGAA